rnacentral:rRNA from 1 species
AGAGUUUGAUCCUGGCUCAGAUUGAACGCUGGCGGCAGGCUUAACACAUGCAAGUCGAGCGGAAACGGCAUAGGCAAUCCCUUCGGGGUGCGCUUAUGGACGUCGAGCGGCGGACGGGUGAGUAAUGCCUGGGAAUCUGCCUGGUAGUGGGGGAUAACUUGCCGAAAGGUAAGCUAAUACCGCGUACGCCCUACGGGGGAAAGCAGGGGAUCUUCGGACCUUGCGCUAUCAGAUGAGCCCAGGCCGGAUUAGCUAGUUGGUAGGGUAAAGGCCUACCAAGGCGACGAUCCGUAGCUGGUCUGAGAGGAUGAUCAGCCACACCGGGACUGAGACACGGCCCGGACUCCUACGGGAGGCAGCAGUGGGGAAUAUUGGACAAUGGGGGGAACCCUGAUCCAGCCGUGCCGCGUGUGUGAAGAAGGUCUUCGGAUUGUAAAGCACUUUAAGUUGGGAGGAAGAGCUCCGGGCUAAUACCCUGCGAGUUUUGACGUUACCAACAGAAUAAGCACCGGCUAACUUCGUGCCAGCAGCCGCGGUAAUACGAAGGGUGCGAGCGUUAAUCGGAAUUACUGGGCGUAAAGCGCGCGUAGGUGGUUUGUUAAGUUGGAAGUGAAAGCCCCGGGCUCAACCUGGGAAUUGCUUUCAAAACUGACGGGCUAGAGUACGGUAGAGGGUAGUGGAAUUUCCUGUGUAGCGGUGAAAUGCGUAGAUAUAGGAAGGAACAUCAGUGGCGAAAGCGACUGCCUGGACUGAUACUGACACUGAGGUGCGAAAGCGUGGGGAACAAACAGGAUUAAAAUACCCUGGAAGCCCCCGCCCGAAACAAGUCCACCUAUUUGUUGGGGGUCUUGGGGCCCUUAUAACCCCGCUAAACCAUUAAGUUGACCGCCCUGGGAGAAACGGCCGCAGGGUUAAAAAUUAUAUUUAUUUGCUGGGGGCCCCCCACAACCCGGGGACCUCUUGGCUCAAUUCCGAUCAAAGUGGAAAACC